rnacentral:rRNA from 1 species
GAUGAACGCUGGCGGCGUGCCUAAUACAUGCAAGUCGAGCGAACAGACGUGGUGCUUGCUGCUCUGACGUUAGCGGCGCAUGGGUGAGUAACCUGUGGAUAACCUACAUAUAAGACUGGGACAACUUCGGGAACCCGGAGCUAGUACCGGAUAAUAUAUUGAACCGCAUGGUUCACUAGUGAAUGAUGGUUUUGUUGUUAAUUAUAGAUGGUUCCGAGCCGAGUUAGCUAGUGGGUACGGUAACGGCUUACCACGGCAAUGAUGCAUAGCCGACCAAGGAGAUGGAUCGUCCCCGCUGGGACUGGAACACGAUCCAGACUCCUACGGGGAGCAGCAGUAGGGAAUCUUCCGCGAUGGGCGAAAGCUAGACGGAGCAACGCCGGAAAGGUUGUGAAAGUCUUCGGAUCUGGAAACUCAGUUAUUAGGGAAGAACAAAUGUGUAAGUAGCUAUACACGUCUUGACGGUACCUGAUCAGAAAGCCACGGCUAACUACGUG